CGCUCGGUGGGCUCAGCUGCGUACUCUAGCCGGCGGUGGGCUCGCUCGUCCUCAUCCCCAACUCCUCUAAAAAAAACUAGCCGGCGGUGCCCCCCAUCUGCGGCGCCGGCGAACCGGACCGUGCCUCUCGUCUUGCACGCGCUGCCGUCAUUGCUCACCGCGAAAUCCUCCCCUCCCUAGUAUCGCAUCUCUCUACCGCAUCCCAUCUGCAGGAGCGCGCGCCGCCGCGCCGUUCCUAAUCGACGGCCUCCGGAAGGGAAAGGGGGGCAUGGGCCGCCUCGCCGCCGUCGUCUUCGGUCUCAUCCCUCCUCGUCGACAAAGGCUGCAGGGCAGACAAGUAUGCAGCCUGAAGGGCAAGGGCGGGGAUAAAUCAUACGAGUGGUUCAGUAAAAAAAGAAUCACACGAAUGGCAAUUCAAAGUAAGAGCAGCAACUUCUCGCACACCAACAUUGCAAAUUACUGGAUGAUCUGAUGAAUGGCAUUGCUUUAUCUGCUUCAUGAUUAUAUUACAACUUACAGCAAGAAAGCUAACAUACCAACACUUGUAAACAUCUGAACUCUACAAGAAAGCUGACAUACCAGCUUAUUGCAGAAAGUAAGAAAGCUAACAUACAGCAAAAAAAGCAUAAUAGAACUGUAAACAUAUGACUUGUAGGAUACUGUUCCAAAGUUCAGAAAACGUGGUCCUUUAUGUGCCUCCCUUCGCCCAUCGGUGUUGAAUACGAUUACAAGUUCGUCUGGAGGUAGAUGAUACAUACAGGAUGGUUAAUCUAUUGUUGUUUAAUUAAAGGCUAGGUUAGUGUUAGGUUUGUAAGAACCAUAUGAGGGGAAACCCAGGAAAUAUGGAUCAAGACCCAGGAUCUGUGCGGCAUCGUGACCUUAACUGAUGAAAAUGAUAUAUGUGUGUUGUUUCUGGACAAAUCUAGGAAAUUUACUGUUACUUCCUUAAAUUUGCAAGCUACAUUUCAAUCUGAGUUCCUCCUCCUACUCACAGCUUUGCAAGCUAAAAAUCUGAAUUCUUUGGAUUGAAAAUGUAGAAAAAUUCUCUAAGUCAAUGGAAGCAGGAACGAAGAAACAUCUCAUCAAUCAUCAACACUUUUGGUUAUCAAUAUCAAUACAUGUAGAAUUUUGCAGUUUUCUCGUAAAUAGCUUACAACAAGGCUUGAGCCACCUUUUCUCCAUUUGAGGAAAGCAAGCUGUCCCUAAUGUCAUAAAUACCCAGUGGAAAUGCUGCAGAACAUAAAGGCACUUGUGGUAACUAGCAUACCAACUGAUCGGUGUUUAUUAGUUUGUCCCUCGGAUUGCAAAUUUACUUCUCUGCUUUGUUGGAGCAAUGGGAAAUUUAAAACCUGUUAGUAAUUUCAGCCAUGAUAGCUCAAAUCAGAUUUGCGCUACAGGUGGAACUCAACAGAGUAAAAAUGAGUUCAUCUGUUGUGAACUGAGGAAGGUUUGCAAUACUGAGAUUCUGCAGGUUAACAUCAGUACAACACUCAAGAAUAGUAAUAAUUUGAGAAAAUACAACAGACCAUGGCUUUUGCCUUGCAUAAAUAAGUCUUCUACGCACAAUCUAAUUGGCUACCUUUGUCAUGAUUGUCUCUGUUUUACCUGGGGCCUGAUACAUCUGAGGCUAGAGGUGGAGCUGAAGAGCUCAGAUUUCCUGUGCUACCAAAAUUUGCUGGAGUUGUUACAACAAAGUUAUGUUCUAUGUUGAGGUCUGCAGUCAUGGGUGAUGAGAUGGAUGCUCUCUUCUGACUGGGAAGUGUCGAGGUUCUUUCUUCCACUGAUGAUUUCCAUGACCACGACGCCAAAGCUGUAGAUAUCUGCCUUUUCGGUGAUCUGUGAUGUCAACCAUUCAGGAGCUAAAUAUCCAGUAAAGGUCAAGAGUGAAGAUCACUUUGCAAGAAGCACCUGGUGGUUGGGUUGGGGUCAAGCUGAAGCUGACAGCGGUGAGCUGAAGAGACGGCCAUCACUGCCAUGUGCGUGCGUUAUGAUACUUGCUUGCACCCGUUAACCUGAAUCAGAGUCACUCUGAGUUGCAAAGUUGCAGUAGGGCUCCUGUGACAGCUAACAGAGUGUGGAAGAGUUCAACGGUGAACAUACAGUGUGUCGAAUAAUUCAACGGUAAAUUAUUGCCAUGCUUGCUCAGAUUUCAAUAAUUCAACGGUCAACAUACAACAGCCUUACAUGAGAACUGUCUGGCAUGGACCAGGCUUGCUUGUGGAACUUGUUUGCUUGCAGAUUAUGUCUGGAAAAGGGGAACUGCAUCUGCAUAUCUGUAUAAUUAAUGUGUUUGAUGAUUUUUGCUGCAAGGAAAUAUGCAGACACGGUGCCAGGCAUGUCAUUUCUUAUUUUAGAAACUCUGCGGUCGGCAGCUGCAUGGAAGCAGAUGGAUGUCUCACUCACCACAUAACUCUCUGGUUUGCGUGCUGACAUCUGUAUUAUCCAAAGGAAAGUAAUUUUGGCAAUUCUUUUGUACAUUUUGCAGUGCCAAAUCUGAAGGCUUUGACUUGUCGUGAGUGCAUUUUGUGUGCAGUUGAAAGAAUUGUGGUUCGCUGCUUGUUGACCUUAGAGCAUCCCAAUAGCUUACUUUGAAUUUAGUUAUCUAAAUGGCUUUUAGGCAUGGACAUGAAUAACAAGCGAUCGUUCUCCAGGGGAGGGAAUCCUCGCGAACGAAUCGUUCUCCUCGGGGGUUCGAUCGAGCGAACAGUUUCGUUCGCCACGAGAACCACCCGGAGUGAAUAAGCCCAGACAGGGGGACAUAUACAGGAGCACCCGGGUGCUCCACCCCCUGUAUGAAUUUUAAUUUCAAAAAAUACCAGGAAAAUUCGAUAAACAUGGAAUCUUGGGAUAUCAAACCCGAGUGCCCAAUCUACUCCCAUGUGAAGUUUUGUGAAAAAAUACCAAGAAAUUUAUCCGUGAUGAAGAAAAUACAGUCUGACCUACGAUCCAUCUAUUUUUUUUCUAUACAUAGGAUUUUUUUUAUCUCUUUUGCCACUGAUAUAUUUUCUGGUAUUUUUUUUACAAAAUUUCACACGGAAGUACAUUGGGCACCUAGGUUUUGAUAUUCCAAAAUCCCCUGGGGAGAGGGGGGUUCAAAAAAUUUCAGUAUUUUUUUGAACUUAAUGUUGAUAUAGGGUGGUGGAACACCCAGGUGCUCCAAAUCCUCUUCCCCGAGACAAGCCCCUUUACUAGACCUCACAGCCCGAUUAUACACAAAAAUAAAUAACAGGAAAAAGAAGAAAAACAAACAAAAUGCAAUGAUACCAGCAAGCAAGUUUUGCCAUGCAUGGCUAACUAAUUUGAUCAUGUAAAAGGUUACAUGGCCAAUAAUAAACAAAAAUAUGUUUAUUUACCAAAUAUGUAUAGCUACACGGGGAAAAAAUUGCCAUGCUCUAGAGGAUAAAAGUGCCACAUGUUUUUGAAAUAAAUAUAUCAAGUGUAAUGUAAGGCACAAAAAAAUGCCAUGCUUGUACAAAAUAUAUACUACAGCAAGCCAACGCAGUCAUGAAACUAAUAAAAGCCAGAACUUAACAUAUAGA